AUUGAACGCUGGCGGCGUGCCUAAUACAUGCAAGUCGAGCGAAGAGGCGGAUGGGUGAGUAACGCGUGGGUAACCUGCCCUUAAGUCUGGGAUACCAUUUGGAAACAGAUUCUACUAACGGAUACUAAAGGAUGGACCUGGGAUGCAUUAGCUAGUUGGUAAGGUAACGGCUUACCAAGGCGAUGAUGGAUAGCCGAGUGGAGAGACUGAUCGGCCACAUUGGGACUGGGACACUGCCCAAACUCCUACGGGAGGCAGCAGUAGGGAAUCUUCCACAAUGGACGAAAGUCUGAUGGAGCAACGCCGCGUGAGUGAAGAAGGUUUUCGGAGCGUAAAGCUCUGUUGUUGGUGAAGCGGUAAUCAACCAGAAAGUCACGGCUAACUACGUGCCAGCAGCCGCGGUAAUUC
rnacentral:rRNA from 1 species